CUGGGCGGCAGCAGGAGCCGCCCGGCAAUUAAAGCGGCCACGCCGCCCAUGGGCGGCGUGAGGGUCCGAAGCCCCUAUAAACAGUUGACGGGUUG
rnacentral:ribozyme from 1 species